rnacentral:lncRNA from 1 species
GUAAACCACUUGGAACACAAUUAAGUUGAGAAAUCAGAUUUUAAUGCAAGAAAACAAUGCAUGCUAACUAAUUAACAAAGCUAGACGGUUUUUAACAAAACUUAAACAAAAUUAAACAUGCAAAACGUAUCUAUGAAAGCAAAAGAAAAGCAAUUACAAACAAGUAACAAUUACUAAUCAAGAAUGCUAUACUAUUCGGCCCUAGGUGAGGCUUCUUGGACACUUUGAGCCCUUGAAGACACACUCACCGUCUAAACGUAAUUAACAAGGUAAUUAACAAUAAACCAAGUUGCAAAGGAAAUAAGAGAAAACUCCCUUUGUUGUUCCUCCUUUUGGUUAGUGCACUUCUUUGUUGUCUUGAUUGUUGAUCUCCUAAGUGUUUGUAGUGUUUGUUUCAAGAAAGCUUGUUUCGGUUUUGGCUUUGUCUCCUCCUUAGAAUGUUGGCUUUAAUUCUCCAAUUUCCAGCACCUAUUCACAAGGGCUAAACCUUAAACCAAGUCAAAUUCCAUGCACAUAAGCACCAAGGGAGAAAUUAAAUUCCAGCACCCAAAAAGAGAGGUCAAGGAACAAAAGCAAGAAACAAAUUUAAUUGAAAGAAAACAGUACCACCAAAAGGAUUUAUAAUAUGACAACUUAGAAAGAGAUUCAAGAAAUUAAAGCAAACAAUUAAAGGUACUCAAUAAAAGGUUGGCACACAAAAAGAAUUCCUAAAGAAAAGCACUAGAUUAGAUGACCAAAUAAAAAAACAGCACCACUGGAAAAUGUUGUGGGCCAGAAAACGUGUUUGUUCCCCGAUUUAUGCUGAUCUGUAUUUUUGGAAUUUGGCUCUGAAAUUUGUUAUGCAAGAUAUUCA